AUUAAACGCUGGCGGCAGGCCUAACACAUGCAAGUCGGACGGUAGCACAGAGAGCUUGCUCUCGAGUGACGAGUGGCGGACGGGUGAGUAAUGUCUGGGGAUCUGCCCGAUAGAGGGGGAUAACCACUGGAAACGGUGGCUAAUACCGCAUAACGUCGCAAGACCAAAGAGGGGGACCUUCGGGCCUCUCACUAUCGGAUGAACCCAGAUGGGAUUAGCUAGUAGGCGGGGUAACGGCCCACCUAGGCGACGAUCCCUAGCUGGUCUGAGAGGAUGACCAGCCACACUGGAACUGAGACACGGUCCAGACUCCUACGGGAGGCAGCAGUGGGGAAUAUUGCACAAUGGGCGCAAGCCUGAUGCAGCCAUGCCGCGUGUAUGAAGAAGGCCUUCGGGUUAUAAAGUACUUUCAGCGGGGAGGAAGGCGAUGUGGUUAAUAACCGCAUUGAUUGACGUUACCCGCAGAAGAAGCACCGGCUAACUCCGUGCCAGCAGCCGCAGUAA
rnacentral:rRNA from 1 species